rnacentral:lncRNA from 1 species
UGUCUGUCCAUAGAGGGGUGUGAUUGUUUUCUGUGUUGUUCUAUCUGGGCAUCUACUCCCACUUCAGGAUCAUCCAAUUCGUGCCGAGUUCUCCUCCAUAGAGAUGGGCAGUUCUUUUUGCUUGCACAGUCCUAGGAACUUUCCUGAUCAGAGACAACUGAAUAUAUAAAGUCCCCAUUUCUAUACCACUCCAAGAUGAAGCCCAGCUGUUUCCUAGACAAUACUAGGCUCAACCACAGGAAUUACCUCUUGGAGUCUCCCCACAAGUACAGUGUUGCCGACCUCCAGCAGAUCCUGGACGGAGUGUAUGAAGGGUUCCUCAACACCCUGAUUGGAUUUGCCUCCCAGACGUCUACCACGUGUGACCUGUGCACCCAGCGUGGCUUCAUCUGCCAGAUCUGCCAUCACCACAAUCAUCUUCCCCUUCGAGUUUGACACCACAGUCAGGUGUGGCGAGUGCAAGACCGUCUUCCCCCAGAGCUGCCAGGCCGUGGUGAAGAAGGGCUGCCCCCGCUGUGCCCGCCGGCGCAAGUACCAAGAACAGAGCACUCUCACCUAAGUCAGCGAGCUGUCCCCACCAAGGCUGCGGGGUGGCGGCUCGGCUCACCCAUCUCAGCUGGGUUUGGCGUCAGUCCGGAUCCUCUCAAGGUGUCACAGCUGUCUCCCCUGUCACGAAGACUCCGAUGUGACCAGAGCACGAGCCUACCAGGGAAGCCCUCGAUGAUGUCACCCAGUCCCUCUACCACCUGUCUGCUCCCGGACUGGGGAAUCAUCAGAUGCCCCCAUUCCAGGGGAUGCAGGGAGGGGGAACUUUGCACUAAUCAGGCCCCAGCUCACCUCACAGACAUGGCACAUCCAUCAGGGCUGUUCAACACUGUGGAACAAGACUUGGGGCGAUCUUCAAUUCCACAUUCUGAUUAAAAGGUCUAGUUUUUUUAAGGCAGGUUUUUUUUUCCCCUUCUAUUUCAACGGAAAAUAUUUUUUUAUUCUUGACCCUACACAAGUCACCCAAGAAAUCCGGCCUUCUCAUGCUGAGCAAAUGUGUGGGAACACUUGGCCCGCAGGCAGGCGGGCGGCUGGACAGGCAGGCCACUGCUGGGCCAGGGCCUGCCAGCUGGAUGGGUGCCUUUCCUUCUCCUACACGGCGUCACUGCCCACGGCUCAAGUACGACGUGCCAAACUGCCCGGG